CUGCCAGACUCCUACGGGAGGCAGCAGUGGGGAAUAUUGCACAAUGGGGGAAACCCUGAUGCAGCAACGCCGCGUGAAGGAAGACGGUUUUCGGAUUGUAAACUUCUGUUCUUAGUGAAGAAGAAUGACGGUAGCUAAGGAGCAAGCCACGGCUAACUACGUGCCAGCAGCCGCGGUAAUACGUAUGGUGCACGCGUUAUCCGGAUUUACUGGGUGUAAAGGGAGCGCAGGCGGCACGGCAAGCCUGAUGUGAAAGCCCGAGGCCCAACCCCGGGACUGCUCUUGGAACUGCAUGGCUGGAGUACAGGAGGGGCAGGCGGAAUUCCUAGUGUAGCGGUGAAAUGCGUAGAUAUUAGGAGGAACACCGGUGGCGAAGGCGGCCUGCUGGACUGUGACUGACGUUGAGGCCCGAAGGCGUGGGGAGCAAACAGGAUUAGAUACCCUAGUA
rnacentral:rRNA from 1 species